rnacentral:piRNA from 1 species
UGGGUCCCACCACACACAGUGACUGUGCCU